CAGGCACGUGGUUCUUCCACCCAAAGUGGCUAAGUUGCUUCCUAAGAAUCGUCUGCUAUCGGAAGCCAAAGAGAUUGGAACGGUAUAAAUGAAUCUCAACGGCCUGGGUAUUGAGAAGAUAUUGUGUAAUUCAUUUGGUACAACUUUUGGG